rnacentral:rRNA from 1 species
AUGAACGCUGGCGGCGUGCCUAAUACAUGCAGGUCGAGCGAACAGACGAGGAGCUUGCUCCUUUGAUGUUAGCGGCGGACGGGUGAGUAACCCGUGGAUAACCUACCUAUAAGACUGGGAUAACUUCGGGAAACCGGAGCUAAUACCGGAUAACAUGUUGAACCGCAUGGUUCAACAGUGAAAGACGGUCUUGCUGUCACUUAUAGAUGGAUCCGCGCCGCAUUAGCUAGUUGGUAAGGUAACGGCUUACCAAGGCAACGAUGCGUAGCCGACCUGAGAGGGUGAUCGGCCACACUGGAACUGAGACACGGUCCAGACUCCUACGGGAGGCAGCAGUAGGGAAUCUUCCGCAAUGGGCGAAAGCCUGACAGAGCAACGCCGCGUGAGUGAAGAAGGUCUUCGGAUCGUAAAACUCUGUUAUUAGGGAAGAACAAAUGUGUAAGUAACUAUGCACGUCUUGACGGUACCUAAUCAGAAAGCCACGGCUAACUACGUG